CUGAGGCUACUGCGGAGACAUUAUCGAGUUUUGAAUGGGUUGUAGCUGGUCUCUUCGGAGGCAUGUGCACGCCCUGCUCAUCCACUCUACACCUGUGCACUUACUGUAGGUAUUGGUGAUGCGUCGCGUCGUUUACGACGAGGCGUUGAACCGUGCUUACGUUUUACUACAAACGCUUCAGUAUCAGAAUGUGUAUUGCGAUGUAACGCAUCUAUAUACAACUUUCAGCAACGGAUCUCUUGGCUCUCGCAUCGAUGAAGAACGCAGCGAAAUGCGAUAAGUAAUGUGAAUUGCAGAAUUCAGUGAAUCAUCGAAUCUUUGAACGCACCUUGCGCUCCUUGGUAUUCCGAGGAGCAUGCCUGUUUGAGUGUCAUGAAAUUCUCAAACCUACAAGUCUUUUGCGGGCUUUUGUAGGCUUUGGAUUUGGAGGCUUGUUGGUGGACCGUAAAGGUCGAUAUCAACUCCUCUUAAAUGUAUUAGCUUGGUUCCUUGCGAAUCGGCUAUCGGUGUGAUAAUUAUCUGCGCCGUGGUCGUGAAGCGUUUUUGGCCGGCUUCUAACAGUCUCUGAUUAAAAAACAUUUUCAUCAACCUCUGACCUCAAAUCAGGUAGGACUACCCGCUAAACUUAACCAUAUCAAUAAGCCGGAGAAAUCA
rnacentral:rRNA from 1 species